rnacentral:rRNA from 1 species
CCUACGGGCGGCAGCAGUGGGGAAUUUUGCGCAAUGCUCGUAAGAGUGACGCAGCGACGCCGCGUGAAUGACGAAGGCCUUCGGGUCGUAAAGUUCUUUCGACAGGGAAGAAAAUGCCUAUAAGUAACUGUGUAUGUAUUGACGGUACCUGUAUAAGCAGCCCCGGCUAACUCCGUGCCAGCAGCCGCGGUAAUACGGAGGGGGCGAGCGUUGUUCGGAGUGACUGGGCGUAAAGAGCACGUAGGCGGUGUUGUAAGUCAUUAGUCAAAGACUAGAGCUCAACUUUAGUAAGGCUAGUGAUACUAUAAUACGAGAGUAUCAGAGAGGAGUGCAGAAUUCCUGGUGUAGCGGUGAAAUGCGUAGAUAGCAGGAGGAAUACCGUUAGCGAAGGCGGCAAUCUGGCUGGAAACUGACGCUGAGGUGCGAAAGCGUGGGUAGCAAACAGGAUUAGAUACCCUAGUAGUC